CAUGGAAUUGGACUCUCCCUCCCUUGUGAUCCCUGAGCGAUGUUUCCUUGCAGAAUCAGAAGCUUUCAGCACCACUGGGUGCCAGCUAGAUUCAGCCAUUCAUAUUGGCAAAGUAGGUGAACCAUCUUUCUGCACACUGUCCUGGCAGGGCUUCCAGAAAGGCUUUCUGCUCCUUCCCUUUAAAUGCUUCCUUGUAUUUCAUUGUCACUGUGCCUGAACUCAUACCUUCCCAUAGCCUUUUGUUUCCCUGUCCAGCUGGCAUGUUCUUUGAGGAUGUUGUGGUCCUGAUGCCAUCAUAAUCAGCCAGGAAUAGCUUAGCUCAACAUCAGAGCCACAAGGGAAAGGCUUGACUAUUGGAAGGAAAAUAAUAAUCCAUUUUGAACCUCACCCCAGAGCACACACCCAAAUUCAAAACCUUUUGAUCAGAAAGGAGACAUAAACCCAUUAAAAACUAGAGAGAAAAGUAAUUGGAUGUUUAACAAAUACCUGAAAGGAGGAGCCCCUCUAAGCUAAAAAAACAACAAAAAAGUAUCAAGAAGGCAAAGACCAGCCAAUUUGACUACAUCACAACUAAGUAUUUCCAAAGUCAAACAAUAUCACAAACAGAACCAAAAAGCAGAGUGCGUAAACUAUUUACAAAUCCAUAAUUUGUAAAAGAACACACACAAAACCCUAACAGUAAAAAUGCAACAGAGAGAUAUGUAAUUCACCUAAACAAAGUUUACAGAAGAGGAAAUAGAAUUGACUAAAAUUUUUUGGAAAAAAUGUUCAAUUUCACUAUUAACAGAAGAGCAAUAAUAAAACAAUAAAGACAAGUUUUCACCAAAAAAUUAGGACAAAAAUGUUUUAGAAUCCUCCGUGCUGUUGAGGAUACAGUGGAACUGGCACUAUUAUUCAGUGCUAAGGGGAACGUGAAUUGAUGUAAACUUUUCCAAAAGUAACAUGACAGUUGAAGAGAAGAGAGGUGAAAGUUUCAAGAGAGGGCAAAUGACCUAUAUAUUUAUACAACAAUUUAUUGAGUGUCUACUUUGCAUUAGGUAUUAAAAUGCGAGGAUAAAUAAGCUAUAGUGUCUGCUCUUGGACAUACAAUUAAUGAGGUAGAAAGAAACAGAGAUUCUCAAAUGGUAUGUAAUCAGAAGAAGGCCAGAGAUAUGCAUGGGGCACAGUCAAAGCUCGGAGCAGCUGGGGUGGGUGGUAAAAGUGUGAAGCUUUAUGGGAGUUUCCAGGGAAGGUCCUAGAAGAGGUGCUGGGAUGAGUAGCAGUUAUUCAGGUAGAAGGCAGAGACAGAAGUGAGGAGCAUCAUGGAUGAACUCAAGCAGUCAGGGUUGCCAAAGCCGGAAAUAAGAGGCAGGGGAUGGAGAAGGCAGGCCAGAUCACCCAGUGCCAUGUCUAUCUAAUUGAAGAGGUGGGUUUUUUUUCUUCUCGAUAAUAGGGAGUCACUGAAGCAUUUUGAGCAUGCAGUUUCCACAGUAAGAUUUCUGUUUUAAGACGAUUACUCCAGUUACUUGGAGACAUUUGGAGAUGUGAGGGCCAAUGAGGAGAUGAUUGCCGUGGUCCAGGUAGAGAGGGCAAGGCCUGGACUAGGAUUGGGGCCAAGAGGAUGGAGAGAAGGUAAAAUUAGGAGAUGCUCCUGACUGACUGACUGCUGAGGUCAAAGAGAGUCAAGGAGAUGCUUCUGACUGACUGACUGCUGAGGUUAAAGAGAGUCAAGGUUGCUUUACCUGUUUGUAUCUUGGGGGAUCGGGUGGAUAGGAGAACACCCAGGAGAAAGAGCAGGUUGGGGGUGGGGCUAGAAGAGGAUCGCUGGGCUCAGUUUUGGACAAGUUGAAUGAAAGGUGGGCACCCAGGUGGAGAUGGCCUGAGAGGAGCUAGGAGAGAGCUUGGAUCUCAGCAGAGAUUUGAACAAAAGAUUUGGGUUGUGACUGAUGGUGACUGAAGCCAUGGGCUUAGGUGAGCUGGCCCUAGCAUAAGAUAGCAACUGAGGAGAGACAGGGGGCCUAGGACAGAGAACUUCUCCCCCAUUCACCAGUAGGCAGAGAGAAAGAAGAGCCUACAAAGGCAAAAAAGUAAUCAGAAAGAGGUGGAAACAGCACCUGGAGCCUGUGUUGGCAUGGAAACCCAGGGAUGUGGCAUGUUUCCAAGAAAGGAUAAUCAGUAGACAAAAGAGAAAAGCCAGUGAGAUAGGGACUGAGAGCCCACUGGUUGAGCAAUUCGGGGCCCUAUAGAUCCUCACAAAGCAAUUCCUAUGAGAGAUGGGGCAGAAGCCCCUGCUAGGUGGGCAGAGGAGAAUGAAAGGGGAAGGGAAAGCUGGCAGCAUGGCACCUGUCCUGGGAGUUUGGACUAUGGGAGAGAAACAGUUAGAGUCCGUUUGGGUGAGGGAGAAUUUCUGAGCUGGGCUGAGACGAAAUACGGGUAGACAUGAUGGCAGAGAGGUUGAGAGGCCUGUCACCUAAAGUCCUCUUGUCUGUAUAAAUCAGGGGCAAGAUCAAAGGACAUGGGUGGUAAGGAGGGAAAAUGGCCAUUGGUGACCUCUACUAGAGCUGUUGUCAAGUAGGAAAGUGUAUGUGCCAGCCUGGAGCUCACAGAGGAGGUGUGGGCAUCUCCCAUGGGGGAUGGAUGAACCAGGAGAGUUCACGGAGCAGGGCUGGACACUGCGCCAUGACUGACACUUUAGGGAUGGAUGCAGGAAGAGGGUCCUGCUGAAGAGACUGAGCAGGAGGAACUGGAGGAGAGGACUGAAAAAGUGGGGUGUCUAGAAGCCCAGGGAGGAGAGACUUUCCAGAGGGCAGAGUGACCAUGAAUGGCAGAUGCACAGAAGUCAGGGGAGGCGAGAGCAUCCUGUAGACUGGUCUUUGGGGACCCCUGCCAUAGCGACUUUGGAGGAAUGGGCAAAGCCCAACUGCGUAGGGGGUGAUCUGGAGACUGAGAAAACAAGAGGGAAAAGGAGGACCUGGGGGGAGGAACAGGUUUCUAGAAGGUGCUGUUUCUUACAUACUGACAUUUGGAAGGAGGAGGGCUGUGUGAGGCCAGAAGAGCCCAGCAGGUAGUCAACGGGGCCCCAGCGCAGUGGGAUUAAGUGUAUGGGGGAAGGGAUUAGUUGUGUUGGUGGAAAGGGGCAAAAUUAAAUCAUGUACAUUUUACCAAGUAACCUGAUCUCUGUGUUUUUCUGGAGGUUAUUUUUCUGCCCUCUGAGUACUGACUACAGCUCUAAUUAGCAAUGGUUUCAUCCUGCCUUGUGUCUGGGGCUGUGUCUUAUUCAUUUUUGUACCUUUCGGUACCUAGCAACAGGCAGCGAGCGAGGUAGAGGCAGGGUAAUUAUUUUCUGCUUGAAAUCGAAUGUCUGAAAUGGAGGUUCAGAACUUUUUUUUUUUUUUUAACCACAAAGGUUUUGUGACAAUUCCCAAGGAAUCAACAAACAAGAAAAUAAAAGUCAAGGUUGAAAAUGUCUGUAUGUAAGGCUGUCUGGGUCUUAGGAAAUACACUCUGCACUCUAGUGUGGGCACAGCUCUUUAUAGUUUUUAUGGUGAGGUCGUGACCAUUGUCUCUUCUAGUCAUUGCAGACCUGUCCUCCUGCCCGUGGUGAGGCAGACAGCCACCAUUAGCCCCAUUUCACAGAUUUAGAAAACUGAGACCCAGAAAGGCAGGAUAGUGGGAAAGAAGGGCAAUGAAGUUGGUAGGGACUCGGGCACAGUCUUGAAUGCUACAUUCAGGGUCUUGAGCACCACAGCCUGGUGGCAUCUCCUAGACAUCAAGUAAUUCUAUUUCUUCCAUAUUUGGAUAGAAGUCAAAAGUCAAUAGAGAGCUUUGGUCUAAUUGACCAAGCUUGGGUCUCCUGCCAUCCCCUGACAGGACCUGGUUGGUAAGAGGUGGGACCUGAAGGAGGGGCCCCUGUGGCUUCUGGGUGAGACAGCAUCCCAUGUCCCACCACAGCCAUAUGAAAUAGGGAAAAGGAAAUUUCCCCAAGUGUAGCAAGGGGCCUUAGGGAGGAAUAAUGGAUGCAAGAAAGCCCAACCCCCCAGACAUCCAUUGUAAGAAGUAACCAGGCGGAGUCAGGGAGACCUGGUCCAGAUAAGAGAAAGAUAGGAGGGAGAGGCCUGAACUCGGCCAGUGGAGAUGGGGAAAAAUAGAUCCAGAAUUUGUAGGAGAUAAGAACCAGAAAUGGUAACUGAUUAGCUAUUAGGAUGGGAGAGAGGGUGACGAAGAAUAUUCCCAUGUGCCUUGGGUAGAUGGUGGGGACCACAGCAUGGGGAGCCAGUCUGAGGGGCAAGACAGUGGUCUCAGAUACAGGAGUCAGGGGUCAGCAUCAUAGCUCUGUGGAACCCAGCAGGCACUUGGUUCAAGGGUCUGGGGCUCAGGAAGAGAUUCUACUGGAAGUACUGGCCCAGGGCCGUGGCCACUUGAGUGAUGGGAACCCUGAGAGUGAGUGAAUCCCCGAGAGCAAGAGAAUGGGAUAGGCCCAGGGCCCUGUAACCAUGAGUUACAGUGACAUUUAAGGAACCAGUCAAGGUGUGGGCAGGCGACAAAGGAGAAAGAGAAGGAAGGGCCUGAGACAUGCGACAAACAGCCAGGAGGGUGGGUUGCCAUGGCAACCAAGGUAGUGAAGAGUUUCAAGGAGAAAGUAAUCAACACUGUCAAAUGCAGCAGAGAAUUCCAAUAAGAUAAAGACAGGAUUUUUUUUCUUUGGAUUUGAUGAUUAGUAAGCUUUUGAUGACCUUAAUAAGAGCAUUUUGGGGGAGUGAUGGGACAGAAGCCUGAAUAGUGUUGAGAUGUGAGGAGGUGGUGAAUCCAUCACUAGAGUCCUUUGAGGAGUCUGGAAGGAAGACCGAGAUGUGAAGGACGGGAUGGGGAGGUUGAGCAAAGGAAAGACAGGAGCAAGUUCAUAGGCAGAUACCGACUCCCAAAUGUGAUAAGCAUUGUUUAGUGACGAAAGUCCAUUCAUUCUACAUAUUCUAGUUUAGCACCUAUUAUGUGCCUGGCAGUGUGCCUAGCACUGUGGAUUCUGUGCUAAAUGGAUUAAAAUAGGCAGAAUUCUUGUUCUCAUGGAGCUAGUAUGGUAGUAGGGAAGAAAGACGUGAAUCUGAUAAUCACAUAUAAACGUAUAAUUUCCAACAUUGGUAGGUGCUCUGAAAGAAAGGUACUAAGUGCUGGAGGGUGUACGACAAGGAGACCUGCCCUAGGCCAACUCCGGGAGGCUUCCCUGAGGAGGCGACAUUUGAACCAAGUUGUUAAGAAGGAAAAGUAGUUAACUGGACAGAGCAAAUUGGAGAACAGCACUCUGGGCAGAAGAAACAGCCUGUAAAAAGGGAGGGGAGGUGAGACCAGAGAGGCAGGCAGUGCUGGCUGUGCAGAGCUUUGGUGGCCAAGGCUGAGCGCCUGUGUCCUUCCAUCCUGAGGAAGCAAGGAAAGUAUGCUGGAGACCUGCCCUCGUGUGUUGCUAUGAUCUGAGGCUCUGGCUGGUCUAUGGAAAAAGUGUUAGAGGAAGCACAGGUGAGUAGACUUUAGGGAGACCAUUAGGAUGCUUCUGUUCUCGUGGUAGAUGGGGUCUGGACACACGUUCUGGUUAGUCCUGGUGCACGGUGGAAGGAAGAGGGGCAGGAGAGGAGGUGGUAUUCAGGAUGACCCCCGAGUUCCGGGCUUGCCUUGUUGGUGGCAUGGCACUGCUUUUCUCAGAACUGGGGAGCCCUGGAAAAGAAUAAGCUCUGUGAGGCAGACCCCAAGUCUGGUGGUAGACAUCCAGCUGGGAAAUGGGGAGGAAGUGGUUGAAUGCAUGGGCCUGGAACACAGCAAGAAAUCCCAGAGACUGGUUCAGAACUUGUGAGGGAUCCUGAGUGGAAAUGUGAAUUGAAGUGGUAUGAGGUUUCUGGAGCAUUCUGAAGGUCAGAGAGGCUGAGCAAGAAGCAGCCAGGCACCAACAUUUGGGGCCUGUAAAAGGAAAGAAGACUCCUCCUAAGGUACUGAAAAGAAAGAGACAAAGAAGUCUUUUGACAGAAAGAUGGAGUGGUCGGCAGUGGGUAUGUGCGGAGGGCUGAUCCGUGACCCCUCCAGUGUGCAACUGCACAAUCACCAUGGCACCCCUGGAGUUGGGCAGCGUGGUGUCCCUGCUGAUUGGCACCCCUGGGCCCAUAGGAGACUUCUGGGGACCUUAACAGAGGCAGCUUGUGGGGGGCUGAUUGGGGAGAGAAAGGAGAGAGGGAACAAAGUCUAGGGUCUUUAACUCAGCCUUCAAGGAAAGAGCAGUGCUGGUAUUUGAAUCAUCUGAGGGAAAGGAGCCUGAGUAAUGGAGUGAUUAAGAAUGGAGACAAUUAGUGAAAUGAGUUCCCACAGGGGCUGGGAUCAAGAGUGGUGGUGGAUAAAUUAGUUUGGGGCAAUAAUGUGUAUUUGACUGAAUGGGGCAAAAUUUAAUUAUUUACCUUUUAGAAAGUAACUUGAUCUCCAUGUUCUUUUGGGAGGUUUUAUCUGACCUGUGUACCAACUGCAGCUCUAAUUAGCACCAUUUUUAUCCUGUCUCAUGGCUGGGAUCAUGCCUUAUUAUUUUUUGUGUUUCUCAGCACCUAGCAACAGACAGUAAGCUCUUUGGGUGCCGAAUCAAUAUUACCUGCCUUGAAAAGAAACAUCUGAAGUCAACAUUCAAACUUUUAAAGAAUCGGUGACUGUUCUUCAAAAGUCAGGCAUGAUGCAGGAAAGAAUUGGGGCAUUAAGUCAUGGUGGCAAGGGUUUGGGUGGGUGGAGAAAAUGUAGAGGAAUCGGCUCCUCUCAUCCUUGUAAGCUCUGUGCCAUUUAUCCUUGUUCAGGUUCAUUGUUUCAUAUGAACUUCACCUUCCCUCACAAGAAACAGAACAUCACCCCAUUUCACAGAGGAGGAACCAGAAGCCAGAGGAGGAAGUGCCUUGUUGGCAUAGAGCACAAGUGGUAGGAGCUGGGUCAGACCUCAGUCCAUAAGGGUCGCAGUCCUUCUUCCCAGAACCAGGUUGAACUGAAAGAUGAGGGAGGGCUCUUUGAGGCCCAGGUGGGGGCGCUCUACAGGCAUGCACGGAAGGUUGGAGGGACAGUCCAACUGGAGACCUGCCGGAUAUUAAAGCAUCAUAUCAAACUGCGGUGAUAACAUUUGCAGUGCUAGCACUGGAGCAGGUAGCAAGCACUCUUGUUUAAAGAAGCCUCCUCACCACAUGAGUGAUAUUUACAUCGAAGUCUUCUGUAUUUCUAAACAAUGUUUGUCUUUAACCCAUCUGUAAUGUGUUUUUAUAUACGGUGUGACUUACAGAUCUAAUUUGAUCUUUUUCUAAAUGGACAACCAGUUUGCUAAGCACUGUUUAUUGUCCCAACACCAUCUUUCCUCCCAGUUCCCUAUGUGUACACGCCGUUCAGAUCUGUUGAUCUGUUUACUUCUGGGCUAAUACCAGCUUGUAAUGAGCAAAGCUUUAUCUUACUACCCGAUAAGGUAAGCGCCCUUCCCUUCCUGGCCCUUUGUUCUUUUUUCAAAUUACCUUGGUCAUAUUGUCAUCAUACUUUUUCACCUACGUUUUAGAAUCAGCUUGUCAAAGUUUCUUGAAAAAAAAAAAAAUCCUGUUGGAAUUUUGAGUGGGAUUGCAUUGAAGGGAGAAAUAACAUCUUUAGGAUAUCAGUUCUUCUCAUCUGUGAACAUGGUGUCUGUCUCCAUUUAAUCAGUCUUAUUUGUUUGGUUUGGUUUUUAAUGCCUUUUAAUAAAGGUUGGUCGCUUUUGUCAUAAAGGUUUUUCACAUUUCUCAUUAGGUUUAUUACCAAGUUCCUUAUCAGUUUUGUUCCUUUUGUGAGUGGAAAAGGUUUUUCUUUUUCUUUCUUUUUGCUUUCCAAAUUUUAAUCAAUCUACUAAUCAUGGUGCUUCAUUCAGACACACACUCAGAGUAAAUGUGCUUUGUCCCUGGGCACACAAAUGAGAACACAGCACACAUGUAAAGUAGAACUAAUUGGCUGGAAAUGAAUUAGAAUUUUUGAAUUAAAAUUUAAUUAUACAAGUAAUACAUGAAUACAUUUUCCCUUAAAUAAAAUUAGAGUGUUACAGAUGAAGAAGUCUCUACUGAGGGCCCCCCAUCCCCCGCCACCAUAGGUCCCUCUCCCCCUACAGAAGUAGCUGCUCUUAGGCUUUUGCCGUUUAUCCAAAAUGUUUUCUUAUGCCCAUUGAAACAUAUCUUCUGUUCUCUGUUGUGUGUUUGCACAGACGUGGUGUGUACACACCGGAGGUGUUGCUCUCAGUGCGCCCUAUGGGACUUCCAGUGUAGCUGGUGUGCCGCGGUGUUCCUUGCAGCUGAUGACGGGUGGCGGCUGAUUUGAUUUCCUUGUUUCCUAUUGACUGACUAUUCAAAUGUUUCCAGUGUCGUCCCAUUAAGACAAACCUCUGAUGAUUGCAACAUGACGGACUGACUAGUUCAUUUUUUUCUCCACGGAUCUGAAGUGAAGCUCCCUCGUGCACUGAAUCAUGGUGUCUAGGUGCUGUUGGGUGAAAAUGUGAUGCUUGGAGCUCUGACAGCCAUCUUGUGACCAGGAGGGGAAGGCCAGGAGAUGCAGCUCUGUGCUGACUCAGCGUGGACACCUGGCACCAUUGACUUCUGGACUUUCUUUGAAAUAAAUAAAUGUUCUUACUGUUUAAGCCA